rnacentral:rRNA from 1 species
AUGGCAACGCGUGGCAAGACGCACCACCUACGACAUGGUGAUCCCCCUCCCAUCGAGAACCGCCAUGUAGUUUUCUCUGCCAAGGUUGUUGUCCGUGUCGGUCUGCAAUUUUUCCUGCGGCUAUGUGCAUUGCCUGCAGUGGAGUGUGGCAUAUGCUUUUGGUUUCUUGUAUUGUUUGUGGUAGAACCGAGGACCGUUGUUCUGCAUGCUCUUUAUGUGUUUUUUUUUCUUCCUUAUUUUGUUUUGUUGCUUACCCAUGUCGUGUUAGAGUGGUUACCAAGCAAACCAAUUGCAUGGCAGAUACGAUCUCUAGAAAAUGGUAGUUGUCACUCGGCUUCCAUGGGUGUGCUGUCAGGAAGGUGCAUUCCUAUGUAA